AUGCUUUGUGCCAUUUAUUGUGCUGGUGAGCCACGGUUAAAUAAGCUGCAGCCUCCGUCCUUGAAAAGCUCGCUGGCUAAGAGAGACAGUGACAAGCGGGAAGUGAAAUGCCAUGGGAUGGUCUUGGCUCUUCAGGAUUUAUAUUCCUAUUCGUUAUCUGGAAAAAAAAGGAUAAUCAUGGAUCAAGGGCUGCUCUACACAAUUGUUGCUGUGGCUGUCUAUGAAGAUGUCAUUAUAGGACACAAAGUCCAUGCAGCUGGCUUCACAAUAAAGUGGAAUUCUUUGCAGAAAACUGAUGAGCUGCCAGCUUCUAGAUCCAAGAAUGGACUUUCCUCUUCCUUGCCUUCUAUGAUGAAUGUGAGGCUUCCCCAGCCAUGUGGAACUAUUCUAAAAACUGCCCACAUUCCUUGGCUCAUGGCCCCCUUAACUCUUCAAGGCCAGCGAUGGCCACUAGAGUCCCACAUCACUGGCAUACUGACAUCCAGAUUUAAACGCUGCAGCACAGCACCCUGCACAAGGAGAAGGCUGACACAGAGCUUCUAUUUUUAUAUGUUUAGUGAUAUAUCCAAGUGUCACUCAACAACAACAGGAAAGGAGCGACCGAGCUGA
ensembl:lncRNA